UCGAACGGAAACCUUCGUGUUUUAGUGGCGAACGGGUGAGUAACACGUAAGCAACCUACCCUAAAGACGAGGAUAACCAUUGGAAACAGUGGCUAAGACUGGAUAGGAAGAUAAAAGGCAUCUUUUAUCUUUUAAAAGACCUAGUAAUAGGUAUGCUUUAGGAGGGGCUUGCGCCAUAUUAGUUAGUUGGUAGGGUAAUGGCCUACCAAGACGAUGAUGUGUAGCUGGACUGAGAGGUUGAACAGCCACAUUGGGACUGAGACACGGCCCAAACUCCUACGGGAGGCAGCAGUAGGGAAUUUUCGGCAAUGGAGGAAACUCUGACCGAGCAACGCCGCGUGAAUGACGAAGUACUUCGGUAUGUAAAGUUCUUUUAUCAAGGAAGAAAAGCAAAUGGCGAACCAUUUGUUUGCCGGUACUUGAUGAAUAAGCCCCGGCUAAUUAUGUGCCAGCAGCCGCGGUAAGACAUAAGGGGCAAGUGUUAUCCGGAAUUAUUGGGCGUAAAGGGUGCGUAGGCGGUCUAGUAAGUCAGUGGUGUAAUGGCAACGCUUAACGUUGUCCGGCUAUUGAAACUGCUAAACUUGAGUUAGAUAGAGGCGAGUGGAAUUCCAUGUGUAGCGGUAAAAUGCGUAAAUAUAUGGAGGAACACCAGAGGCGUAGGCGGCUCGCUGGGUCUUAACUGACGCUGAGGCACGAAAGCGUGGGGAGCAAACAGGAUUAGAUACCCUGGUAGUCCACGCCGUAAACGAUGAGUACUAAGUGUCGGGUUAAACCGGUACUGAAGUUAACACAUUAAGUACUCCGCCUGAGUAGUACGUACGCAAGUAUGAAACUUAAAGGAAUUGACGGGACUCCGCACAAGCGGUGGAUCAUGUUGUUUAAUUCGAAGAUACCCGAAAAACCUUACCAGGUCUUGACAUGUUUUUGCAAAAUGAUAGUAAUAUCGUGGAGGUUACCAGAAACACAGGUGGUGCAUGGUUGUCGUCAGCUCGUGUCGUGAGAUGUUAGGUUAAGUCCUAAAACGAGCGAAACCCUUAUCGUUAGUUGCCAGCACGUUAUGGUGGGGACUUUAACGAGACUGCCAAUGAUAAAUUGGAGGAAGGU
rnacentral:rRNA from 1 species